CCAUUAAAACAAACAAUUGGCGUGAAAGCACAUCCUUUAGUCUACCACUCAGCUGCUACUGUUUGAGGCAACUUUUGUGUGUUCCUGAUCAACAGCUUGAAGGAAGUGACGCGAUUUCUGAUAUCCACGCACGCACAUAAAACACUUUGGUCAGCUGUUUUAUCGCCACACAGCUGAGUCAGGUAUCCACCUGUUUGUGCAGCUUUCUUACGUCAAGGUGAAUACGCUACAAAAAAGCUUGUAGGUGUAUGUGGUACAGAUAGGGGUAAAUCGCCUGCAGACAACACGCGCUGCUCCACAUCCUGUUUUGCAACGCUCCACUGCGAUUAAUAUCCUUUCGACACAGGCAGCCGGCUGCCACAAAUGUGUUUACGUACGCUUUAUGCUUUAGCCUUUGAUGUGGCAUAUGAUAACAGGUUGCUGAACACCGGGGCAAUGUGUAAAAUCAUUAACGUGCGCCUAAAUUACCAAAAGCUGAGGUUAAAGCACAAAAAAAAAAUGAAAAAAAACUGCGCACACCUGUGUCCAAGUGCCGACAACACCGGCGUUUAGUCAAUUUAGUGAGGUUAAUUCACGGUGUCAGCGAAAUGCCGCAAAGCGUAGCAAGAAAGAAACAAAUUAUUGAAAUGUGGUGUGAGUAUUAAUAAUUCAGGUACUUAAGGUGGUUCCGCCAACGAAGAGAGCUUUCAACAAGCUAUUCAAUGUGAUAGUGUGUGAAGGAUUGUUUACAGAAGUACUAAAUUGUUUGGAUUGUUUACUUAAAUGAGGGUCGAGGAAAACAGGUGAGCUCCCAAUGGCACGGGAUAAGUGAGAAGAAGAUUAUUUAACAAAAAAAAGAACGCAAAGUUAUGUUAAAGACAUUUAUGAAUAAUAGGUCGUUGGUACGUAGGUCGUACAUUCUUAUAUUGUUCACAUAAGUAUUCUUCACAUAAGAAUUCACUUCUAAACACACAGAAUAUGCUAACUAGAGCUUUGAGUAAAGAAAUUUAGCCAGAUCUUCGACACCUUCAAAGUUUUGAUCGCUUAUAAGACCUCACAACAGAUCUAGGUCAUAUCCCAGGUUAUUAAAAUUAAGAACCAUUACUAUUACUCUAAUUUUAUUGCAAAAUAUUCGUGGAUUCUAAAAUAACAAGUUGUUCUCAUAGAUCUUUGCAUAUCUAGAUCAAUGGGUUCGCUAGAUCUAGCUAGCCUUCAGGUAAAUCAAAUAGAGAUCUUCAGUCCGAACCAUUACCGAGGAAGCAAGUGGUUAGUUACCAGCUUUUUCGUCGGUUAACAUCAUUGAAAAAAAAUAUUAAAAUCAUUUAAAGCCUAAAAUACUUAUUUCAAUCUCCCAAAAUGAUAACAUAUACCGGAACGAAACCCUAACAACCAUAGGAAACAAAGUGAGUAUCUCAACAUUAAGAUUUCUUCAAGAAAAUCGGAUUCCUGGAGUAGAAUUUCUAUAGAUAUUUGUUUAAUACUUAGGGAAGCAUGUCAGAACUGAAUUUAGGUAGCUCUUUGAAAUGAAAAAUUUGCUCUGCUGGAACAAAGAAGCCAUGAAAACUACUAUAUUUUCAUUCCCAUAAUAGUCGGGUCUAAGUAACUGAAACGAACCCAGAUUUUUUGCAGGUUAAAGAUUGUCAAACCGGCGCAAUUUCUCAAAACGUAUUUUGCAAAUUUUUUCUGCCGCUAAAACAACAAAAAAAACUACAUAAAUUCAAAAAGAGUUCUUAAAUAAAUUAGGUAAAAAAUAUUUAUAUGACAGAAAUCUCGAUCUCUCAUAUACAUAAAUUUUCGACACCAAAAAUAUAAUUCUGUUUUGUUCAAAACCAAGUCCAAAGGAGUAUACAGUUUUGUUUUCAUUAUUUCAGCAAUAUAAACACACAUACAUACAUAUAUCUAAUUUUAUUAAUUACAACACUGGCAAGCAAGGACUGCCGAAGGUUUCAUAUGUACCCAUUCCGAACUGUGGACUUAGUGUAUAUACUAUAUACAUAUAUACAUAUGAUAAACAUAUAUGCCAUAUAAAAUACGCAGCAGGCUGCAGUAAUUUCAUCUUUCGUGCGAAUAUAUUUAUAUAUAAACAUAUAUACAAAUCCAUGUGUAUGUAUAUGUAUUAAUUAAUUCGUGCUUGUUAGUCGCUCAAUUAUGCAUGAGCUUCUUUCGGCCACAUUACCGACCACAAAAUAUUCAUUGGAAUUGUCACGCAUUAUCUCAACAUUUGCAAGCCUACACAAUUACAUUGUUAUUUACUUUGUGCAACAACAACAACAACAACAACAACAACAACAACAACAACAGCAAUGAAACAAGAACGCAUGCGAAAUAUGCUUAAUUAAAGACAGUACGAAGGCAGUUGCACAAAAUGUAAGGUGAGAAAUUUAAUUCAUGGCCAAUGUGCAUUGCAAUACUUUCCAUAAUAAGCACAAUAUAAUAAGACAUUAUUAUAAUGACAGACAGCAAAAAGAAAAAAAUAUUUGUUUAGACACACACAAAGGAUGCUAAUGCGACUAUAAUAACUUAGUAGGAGUUUAAAGAGUGGGUGAACAAAUAAUAUGCACAUUGAGCUGGAUAAGAAAGCAUGCCUACAUCCGCUAACUAUACGUCCGCCGCCAGCAGGACUUGGCGUUUUGUUGACUGGAGUGCAAGGUCAGGGCUGAUUGGCAAUUUAAAGGCAUUAUUAUAUGUAUA